rnacentral:lncRNA from 13 species
AUGGCUGUGCCGAGGCGGGACACCACGCGGUCACCACGGGGACCGGGCCUCGCAGCGGCCGGGCCGCCACCUGUGGGGCAGGCACUCCGCACAGGUGAGCGCCUCCUAACAGCAAAGUACAACCGAGCCCGCACGUGGGCCCGGGCGAGUGGAUACGGAGGGCGGAAGACCCGGGCUGGGGCGGGCGGUGGGCAGAGGCGCGCACAAGCCCGGGGCCGCCACAGCCCGGGAGACCCUCGCCUCGCGGGCCCCCCGCCCAGCCUGCUCCGCCCGCGGCGCCGCCACGGGAAACGGAGGACGCGGCUGGCGCCCCAGACUCGCGUGGAGCUGCUCCGGAAGCCGGCGCACCCCGGCACGCCGUCCCACCGGGUGGACGCCGCGGGGAAAAGCCGCCCCGCCGCGUCCGCCCCCACGAGAGCGCCAGGCCCCCACGCGUUCCCCGCAGCCGCACUCACCGUCCUCCUUGUCAUCAAACACCGGCCUCCGCGCCGUGGCCGCCGACAUGGACGAGCCCAUCCUCUUCUUCCACUUGCUCCACGGAAACAGGGGGCGCGGCUGCGCGCGGGCAUCGCCCGAGUCCCGGGCCCGGGACUGGCCGGCAGCGGGCGGCUGCAGGGCCGGGGGCGCGUCGGAGCCGGAGGGGCGCGCGCGGCCGGGGGGCGGCGAGCCUGGAGGCGCCGCGGCGCAGCUGCCCCUGCGCUCGGCGCCGCUCCUCAUUGCCGGGCCUGGGUGCGCGCCGCGGCGGGAGCACCGGGCAUGGCCGGCCCGCAGGGCCGGGAGCGGCGGCGGCGGCGGCGGCGGGAGCGCUCGGGGCCCGCAGCGCCCGCCGUGCGCUCUCCCGGGCCGCGGAACCCGCCCCGCAGCCUGCGAGUGCAGGGGGCGGGGAAGGGGCGGAGCUUCCGGAGGGGGCGGAGCCGGGCGGGGCUCCGAGGAGGCGUGGGGGCGGGGCCUGGGCGGGGCUCCGAGGAGGCGUGGGGGCGGGGCCUGGGCGGAGCCGGCACCCAGAGUGUCGCUCGAGACCGGGUGGCCGCCUCCAGUCUGGGGAUGGGGGCUGUGGUUCGCCAGGACACGGGGACCACGGCUCCGACUAGACGGCGGGGACGACAGCGAGGGAGGCAGGGAGCGUCCCCACCGGUAUCCCGGGCCCGGAAGCUCGGCGUCCCUGGCACGGAGACAGCGCUGCCGGGCACGGUGGCAGGACCUUCUCGCGGUCUCCGCGGGCCUCCCUCCCCUGCCUCCUUGGUGAAAACAGCCGGCGCGCGGCCUCCGCCGCCCGGGGCGAGGAGUCUGAGGCUCCAGCCCUCUGCUUUGCGCAGGCCAAGCCUCCUGAGGGACAUGCCUUGGACACGGGUCAGCCAUCACCACAUAACUGGCACACAGCUCGGUCACACCAGUUUUAACGUGUGCUUUGUCUUCUGUCAUCAUUUUGAAAUUACCGCGUGUGCUCUGCCCACGCCUUUGUUAAGUGUCCUUCUAUUAAAUCUCCCCACAUCACCCAAUUCAUGGUGCUGUUUCCUGCUGGAAAACACAUCUCAGAACUGACUCCCAAAACAGGAAAUGGGAUUCCGAUGCUGGGUGUCACCUACACGGAGAAUCCAUGGAUAGCCUCCCUUCCGAGAAAUGGAAGACAGAUGGUUCCAGCUGUGGCACCCUCAGAUUCAGCCCUGGCGGGGCCUGCGACUGAGGAUUCCUGGAAGGCCAGGGCCAUGGAGUUCACGUGCAGGGACACUUGGUCGCUAUGGCGACAGUAUUGAUUCUAAAGGUCAUGUGGCCACCUAGUGACUGGGAAGGAGCACAGGGACACGACACGCAGGAUGGGCUGCAGCCGCUAGGAACAAGCCCUCACCCCCGCUGCAGUGCGCCGGGCCGAGCACGAGUUCAGUGCUCAGCUCUGUGUAGGGACCCACCACCCCAGCCCCUGCCACCACCAUCAUCAUGGC